AAAUAUACGCCAAAAAAUUUAAAGAGGAGAGGACUGAAAGCAGCGGCGCAAUUCACAAAAAGAGAGCCCUCCACUCCUGGCUAUCGUCUACAAUGACGAGAAUCAUCCACGACCCCUCCCCAACAAGCUUCUUAUUCUGGAGACAAAAAUCCAAAAUAGAUCCCGGCACCUAGGCAGCUUCAGCAACCCAAAUCGGACAUUGGUUUUGACUUUUAAGAUUGUUUGACAUCUCAAAAAAAUUAGUAAACAGAUAUUGUGUCUUCUUCUUCCUCCCAUCGAUUUCGAGCAUUUGGGUUUCAAAUGGAGUUCAAUUACAGUGAGUUCGUCGUUUGAUUCAUCAAUGUCAAGUUUUUCGGUGUGGUCUUUUGUUAACGGGUUUGUUCGAGGUUGCGAUUUCGGUCCAGAUGCCUAGAGUGUAGCUCGUUCAAAGGUUUUGCUAUUUUCGAGCAUUAUAUUCAUUGUAUUUUCUCCCAAAUGUCACUAAUAUUAGGUAAGUUCUUCCAUUUCAUUCUUCUUCCGCUGCUUUGUUUCUAUGACAAAUCCCGUCACGCUAUCAUUGUUCUAACCUAAAAUAUAUUUGUUUUGCUGGAAAAGCUUAACAAAAAUUUGAAAUACAUGUAUAUGUUGCGAUAUGUUGUGGCCUUGGAGUUGUAUUUGUGUUUCGGUUUUAGCUCCAUUAUACAGUUUCAAGCUUUUGAGUUUAAAAAUGGCAAUUGAAAUUGUGUUUUGAUUCCAUGGUGCUUUGGACAGAAUGACGUUGGAAAGUUUUGGUUUCGUAUGUCAUAGAAGUACAACUGCUUUACAUAACUUUGGGGUGUGACUUAUUAUGUGUUUCUCAAUUAUUUUGCUUCGGAUGCUGGCAAACUUUUUGUUAUUCGACGAGGUGCUUACUAUUAUUUGGGUUCUAGUUUGUAUUACAAGUCUAAAAACCAAUUGUUUGGUUACUGAUGAAGCAGUGGGUGAUUUUAGAAGGGUAUUUUGGUUAAAUAUAUAUCUCACUCAUCUUAGAUAGAAAUAUCAAUUAGUGAUCUACGAC
rnacentral:lncRNA from 1 species